rfam:TPA: Bos taurus chromosome 18, whole genome shotgun sequence.
UCCCUGGUGGUUUAGACGGUAAAGAAUCUGCCUGCAAGGCGGGAGACCCAGGUUUGAUCCCUGGGUAGGGAA